AGGACCUGGGGAAACGCUUGGCUCCUCUUCGAGCCCCGAGGGUGCAGGUUGGGCAGGGCGGGCUCCGGUGGGCCGCACACCCAUCACCCGUACUAGCGUGAGGUUGUCGAAGAGAAAAUCUCACGUUUCGCAUCCUCAAAUUUCCGGAUCUGAAACCCUAUGCAAGCAGCAACCGCGGGAGAGCGAACAGCGGCGGGAUGAGCAUUCACAAGGCUGAGCAUUCACAGGGCUGCGGGGAAGGCGGGAGUAACAGCUAGCAGCAUACCGCGGCCCCGCCCCGCAGAGGCCCUGCCCCGCCCCCGCCAGAGUACAGAGUACGAGCUCCGACUUGGUCUCGUCCGCGGUCGUCCCCACCCCUCAGCGCGCUGUGGUGCUGUCCUGGAGCCGAGAGCUGCCUUGCGCUUGGCGCGCCCUGCACACCUCCCCGGUCUGCGCCAAGAACCGGGCGGCCCGAGUACGCGUAAGCAAGGGGGACAAGCCGGUGACCUACGAGGAGGCACACGCGCCGCACUACAUCGCCCACCGUAAAGGCUGGCUGUCGCUGCACACAGGUAACCUGGAUGGAGAGGACCAUGCCGCAGAGCGAACGGUGGAGGAUGUUUUCCUUCGCAAGUUCAUGUGGGGUACCUUCCCAGGCUGCCUGGCUGACCAGCUGGUUUUAAAGCGCCGGGGUAACCAGUUGGAGAUCUGUGCCGUGGUCCUGAGGCAGUUGUCUCCACACAAGUACUA
rnacentral:lncRNA from 1 species